UGCCUCGGGGUCUGGCAGUGGGAGGUGGUGCCGUCAGGUGCCUCCUCCAGAAGCAAAGGCCCCGACCAGUGGGAGCCGAGCUGUGGACUUCAAUCUUGACAGGAAUUGUCUCCUGUCUUCAAGUCCAGUGCCCUUUUCCAGUCCAACUGUUAGCUUUUGCAGUUAAUCUCUGGACAUACCUCUCAGCUGUACCCCACACCUGAGCCUUGAGACAAAGACAAACAGUUCUCUGCGGAGGGAAGAGACUAACGUCCAAGAUUAAAUUCUUCCAUCAACUAUACCCUGAAUGGACUUUUGAUUAGAGAUUUCAGUGAAGAGCAUCC